UACAGAGGGUGCGAGCGUUAAUCGGAUUUACUGGGCGUAAAGCGCGCGUAGGUGGCUAAUUAAGUCAAAUGUGAAAUCCCCGAGCUUAACUUGGGAAUUGCAUUCGAUACUGGUUAGCUAGAGUAUGGGAGAGGAUGGUAGAAUUCCAGGUGUAGCGGUGAAAUGCGUAGAGAUCUGGAGGAAUACCGAUGGCGAAGGCAGCCAUCUGGCCUAAUACUGACACUGAGGUGCGAAAGCAUGGGGAGCAAACAGGAUUAGAUACCCGGGUAGUCC
rnacentral:rRNA from 1 species